GACAGAGGAUGCAAGCGUUAUCCGGAAUGAUUGGGCGUAAAGCGUCUGUAGGUGGCUUUUCAAGUCCGCCAUCAAAUCCCAGGGCUCAACCCUGGACAGGCGGUGGAAACUACCAAGCUGGAGUAUGGUAGGGGCAGAGGGAAUUUUCGGUGGAGCGGUGAAAUGCAUUGAGAUCGGAAAGAACACCAACGGCGAAAGCACUCUACUGGGCCGACACUGACACUGAGAGACGAAAGCUAGGGGAGCAAAUGGG
rnacentral:rRNA from 1 species